rnacentral:rRNA from 1 species
AAUGAACGCUGGCGGCAUGCCUAACACAUGCAAGUCGAACGAGACCUUCGGGUCUAGUGGCGCACGGGUGCGUAACGCGAGGGAACAGGCCCUUAGGGUCGGAAUAACUCCCCGAAAGGGGUGCUAAUACCGGAUAAUGUCUUCGGACCAAAUAUUUAUCGCGUUUGGGUGUGCCCGCGUUGCAUUAGGUAGUUGGUAGGGUAAAAGCCUACCAAGGCGACGAUUCAUAGCUGGUCUGAGAGGAUGAUCAGCCACACUGGGAGUGGGACACGGCCCAGACUCCUACGGGAGGCAGCAGUGGGGGAUAUUGGACCAUGGGCGAAAGCAUGAUGCAGCAAUGCCGCGUGAGUGCUGAAGGCCUUAGGGUUGUAAAGCUCUUUUACCCGGGCUGAUAAUGACGGUACCGGGAGAAUAAGCUCCGGCUAACUCCGUG